rnacentral:misc_RNA from 1 species
UUGAUAAGCGUGAGGUCGGAGGUUCAAGUCCUCCCAGGCCCACCAGUUAUACUAUGCAGCAAAUUGCUCUGAGUGAAAAUGUUAAAAUUUAGCGAGAAUAUUCACAAUCCUUUGUUGAAUACUCCCUUAACUUGUUGAAGGCUCCCUUAAAAAGAAUUUAUUGAAGCAGUCAAUUCUUCUAAGAGCAUUCAGAGCUUCCAUAGAAACGAAGUUUUCGCGAGACUUUUUUCUAUCCUCUUCAAUAAGGGAAACAACAGAAAAAUAACGAGGGAAAUAAAAGGCUAAUAUUGUCUCUUUCAAUAUUAUUUCUCUUUUUGUAAAAAAGCUCUGUUUUACAAGUAUGAGUUUUUUAUAAGAGCAAGACGUGAGGGCAUUUACAACUGUUUUAGGGGCCGUAGCUCAGCUGGGAGAGCACCUGCUUUG